CUCGAGAGUUCGUUCAAAAAUGACCGAGGAGAAGAUCGGUUCUUUGGAAGAGGAAGCUCUGAAGAGGAAAGAACGGUUACAGGCACUCAAGAGGAAAAACGAAGAGAGCAAGGAAAGCAAGAGUGAUGGAGCUGAGAAUUUGCCAAAGCCGAAAUUCCGAAGCUACAAGCCACAGGACGAAAGCCUGAAGAACAAUGUGAUAGAUGACGCGAAACCAGGCGAUGUAGAAGCUGUGGUGCAAGAACAAUUGGACGCAGCGAGCAGCAAAGUGGUCAUUGAGGAACUAAAUAUCAGUAAUCUGGCACCGAGGAAACCAGACUGGGAUUUGAAACGAGAUAUAGCCAAGAAAUUGGAGAUUUUAGAGAGAAGAACGCAGAAGGCGAUAGCAGAGGAAGUAAGAGCACGUCUCAAACAGGGCCAACAGGAUCUGGCGGCUUAUGUGAACGCACCUGAUAAAGGAUAAGUGUGCCGUUAUCAAUGAAUAUGUAUAUAUUGUAAUAAAUUACAUACUUUUAUAAAAUAUAUUUGCGUCCUGGUGUUGCGAUCUUGGAUCGUUUUACAACAACAUCGGACACGCACACACAACAUCAAGAUGCUAUUAUCGAACUGUUAAAAAUCCAAGUAAUCACAAAAAACGUAUUCUGAUAUCGGUUAAAUGCGAUCCUCAUGGAGAACAUGAGAAUGUGCAUCGGAGCAUUCGCUCAAUUGAACAUCUUAAUCCUCGAACGAUAUGGCAAGAUUAAACGUAAUUCCCAUUUUA